UACGUAGGGUGCGAGCGUUGUCCGGAAUUACUGGGCGUAAAGAGCUCGUAGGUGGUUUGUCGCGUUGUUCGUGAAAUCUCACGGCUUAACUGUGAGCGUGCGGGCGAUACGGGCAGACUAGAGUACUGCAGGGGAGACUGGAAUUCCUGGUGUAGCGGUGGAAUGCGCAGAUAUCAGGAGGAACACCGGUGGCGAAGGCGGGUCUCUGGGCAAGUAACUGACACUGAGGAGCGAAAGCGUGGGGAGCGAACAGG
rnacentral:rRNA from 1 species